GAUGAACGCUGGCGGCGUGCUUAACACAUGCAAGUCGAACGGAAAGGCCAGUGCUUGCCCUGGUACUCGAGUGGCGAACGGGUGAGUAACACGUGGGUGAUCUGCCCUGCACUUCGGGAUAAGCCUGGGAAACUGGGUCUAAUACCGGAUAGGACAAUGGUUUGGAUGCCGUUGUGGAAAGUUUUUUCGGUGUGGGAUGAGCUCGCGGCCUAUCAGCUUGUUGGUGGGGUAAUGGCCUACCAAGGCGUCGACGGGUAGCCGGCCUGAGAGGGUGUACGGCCACAAUUGGGCUGGGAUAAGGGCCAGGCUCCCACGGGGGGGAGGAGGGGGGAAUAUUGCACAAUGGGCGCAAGCCUGAUGCAGCGACGCCGCGUGGGGGAUGACGGCCUUCGGGUUGUAAACUCCUUUCGCUAGGGACGAAGCGUAUUUGUGACGGUACCUGGAGAAGAAGCACCGGCUAACUACGUG
rnacentral:rRNA from 1 species